UACGGAGAGGGCAAGCGUUGUUCGGAUUUAUUGGGCGUAAAGCGCGCGUAGGUGGCAUGGUAAGUCGAAUGUUAAAGACCCACGGCUCACCCGGGGGUAUGCGUCCGAUACUGCCGUGCUAGAGUGCGGGAGAGGAAAGUGGAAUUCCUGGUGUAGCGGUGAAAUGCGUAGAUAUCAGGAGGAACACCGGUGGCGAAGGCGGCUUUCUGGCCCGCAACUGACACUGAGGCGCGAAAGCGUGGGGAGCGAACGGG
rnacentral:rRNA from 2 species